rnacentral:other from 2 species
CGAUUCCUGGGUUGUUCGCCAGUCGGUGAUGUCCCUGAGCCGAUAAUCUUAUNCCAGGGAGGCACACAAUACACGGUGCGCAGGUCCGUCUACGGAAAGCCUAAUGUGUGUUUGNGUUUCCCGCCUUGAACCAUUGGGUUCAAGGGCCAAACUGACAGCGGCAACUUGGGUCUUUU